rnacentral:rRNA from 1 species
UACGUAGGGUGCAAGCGUUAAUCGGAAUUACUGGGCGUAAAGCGUGCGCAGGCGGUUGUGCAAGACCGAUGUGAAAUCCCCCGGGCUUAACCUGGGAAUGGCAUUGGUGACUGCACGGCUAGAGUGUGUCAGAGGGGGGUAGAAUUCCACGUGUAGCAGUGAAAUGCGUAGAGAUGUGGAGGAAUACCGAUGGCGAAGGCAGCCCCCUGGGAUAACACUGACGCUCAUUGGCACGAAAGCGUGGGGAGCAAACAGGAUUAGACUA